UAGGGAAUCUUCCGCAAUGGGCGAAAGCUUGCCGGAGCAACGCCGCGUGAGUGAUGAAGGUCUUCGGAUCGUAAAACUCUGUUAUUAGGGAAGAACAAAUGUGUAAGUAACUAUGCACGUCUUGACGGUACCUAAUCAGAAAGCCACGGCUAACUACGUGCCAGCAGCCGCGGUAAUACGUAGGUGGCAAGCGUUAUCCGGAAUUAUUGGGCGUAAAGCGCGCGUAGGCGGUUUUUUAAGUCUGAUGUGAAAGCCCACGGCUCAACCGUGGAGGGUCAUUGGAAACUGGAAAACUUGAGUGCAGAAGAGGAAAGUGGAAUUCCAUGUGUAGCGGUGAAAUGCGCAGAGAUAUGGAGGAACACCAGUGGCGAAGGGGACUUUCUGGUCUGUAACUGACGCUGAUGUGCGAAAGCGUGGGGAUCAAACAGG
rnacentral:rRNA from 1 species